rnacentral:lncRNA from 1 species
GGGACAGUCUGCGGCAACACUGGAUCCUUAACCCACUGAGUGAGGCCAGGGAUCAAACCCGCAUCCUUGGAUUAUUUUUCACUGCACCACAAGGGAACUCCCCUUCAGUUUUUAAAUGGAAAAGAAUUGUAGAGUGAUAUCCUUCUCAAGGUUUUUUUGACCCUUUGGAAGACUGGUUCAUUCCACUUUUCAAACAGAGAGGAGAAAGAAUGCCUUUCUUCCUCUGAAAUUCCACUAAUGACCACAUGGUGGUGCUGGUGCUGCACCAUAAAUACCAAUGCAGCUGGGCAGUGUGGAUUCCCUAGGUACACCCAGGGGCCUCCCUCUGUCUUUUCUUGCCCCUAUUCCUCUGCUGUUUUUUCCCCCAGGUCCUCCUUUCCAUCCAGUGGAGCUUGAUACAUAUAAUAUUUGCCAAGAAGCUGUCAGACCAGAAUUGGAUACUGCCCACCUGAAGCUGAAUGCUUCACUUCCUUUGUAAUGCUGAUGAAUCAUCAGGCCCAGGACCCCUAAACUCUACCAUGGAUGGGAUGAAGUUUCAGCAGAGCUGACAGCUCCUCCUUCACAGUUACCUUCUGCACCAGUAGCUUCUCCAGAGUCACCUUCCAACAAAAGGCAUACAUUUCAAGCUCCACCCUUGUCUACUCUCCCUUCAGUGCAAAACAUAGUUGUGUUCAGCCAAGUUUCCCCAUACAUCCUAGGAUCGCCAGCAUUACCAUUUAUGGCCCAAGGCUAUAUCCCUGAUUGAUCUUAAGGGCCAAAGGGCUCCCAGGUCUAAAAACAAAGUUUGAGCAAAAAUUAGCUUCAGAGAACUAUUUCCAGGUGAGAAGAAAGGGCUCUAAAAAUGGCCCAUCAACUGAAUUUUACAAAAAUGUCGAAGUCAUAAAAGACAAAGCAAUCCUGGGAACUGUUCCAAAUUAAAGGAGACUGAAGAAACCCAAUAAAGACUCACAACUAUGUGAUCCUCGACUGUAUUCUACACUGGAGGGAAAACAUGUUGUAAAGGACAUUGCUAGAUAGGUGAAAUGACAAAGCUGAAAUAGACUAGAUAGGAGUCCAGUGCUCAUGGUAAGUUAGUUCAUUUGAUAACUGUGCUAUGGCUGUGGAAGGGGAAAGUCUUCUUUUUGGCAGAUACAUGGUGAAGUAUUUAGAGGCAAAGGGCAAUGAUGUUGGUAACUCAAUUUCAAAAGCAUAGACAGAAAGAGAGCAAACAGGACAAAUUAUAAAUAGUAAGUGGAUCUGGGUAAAGGCUAUUGGUCAUUUUUACUAUUCUCGCAAAUUUUCUGUAUGUUUCAAAUUGUUUCCUAAUAGACUUUUAAGAAAUGGUCCCUCAAUCAGUCCUGCUGAGUUUUAAUCCCUCUGAGAUAUGCACAUCAAUGCCCACAGCUGUCAUCAUCACAUCCAACAUCCCCAAGUGAGAAACUCCAACUUUUAAACAGUUUAAUGAGGUUCUAACUCAGACGAAAACAUAAGGAUCUUCUUAUUACAACUGUGGUUCUUACAUUUUCAACACUGAUUCUUAAAUUUAUCGGAUAGUGAAAAUGAAAUAAAAAUGCAUACAUGUAGAAAUAUAAAAAUUAAAAGAAUCACAUGAAAACCAUGAUUUCAA